rnacentral:rRNA from 1 species
AGUGAACGCUGGCGGUAGGCCUAACACAUGCAAGUCGAACGGCAGCACAGUAAGAGCUUGCUCUUACGGGUGGCGAGUGGCGGACGGGUGAGGAAUACAUCGGAAUCUACUUUUUCGUGGGGGAUAACGUAGGGAAACUUACGCUAAUACCGCAUACGACCUACGGGUGAAAGCAGGGGAUCUUCGGACCUUGCGCGAUUGAAUGAGCCGAUGUCGGAUUAGCUAGUUGGCGGGGUAAAGGCCCACCAAGGCGACGAUCCGUAGCUGGUCUGAGAGGAUGAUCAGCCACACUGGAACUGAGACACGGUCCAGACUCCUACGGGAGGCAGCAGUGGGGAAUAUUGGACAAGGGGCGCAAGCCUGAUCCAGCCAUACCGCGUGGGUGAAGAAGGCCUACGGGUUGUAAAGCCCUUUUGUUGGGAAAGAAAAGCAGCAGGUUAAUACCCCGCUGUUCUGACGGUACCCAAAGAAUAAGCACCGGCUAACUUCGU